rnacentral:rRNA from 1 species
UACGAGGGGGGCGAGCGUUGUUCGGAAUUAUUGGGCGUAAAGGGUGCGUAGGCGGUUUUGUAAGUCUUAUGUGAAAUCUAUGGGCUCAACUCAUAGACUGCAUGAGAAACUGCCGGGCUUGAGUAUGGGAGAGGUGAGUGGAAUUCCUGGUGUAGCGGUGAAAUGCGUAGAUAUCAGGAGGAACACCUGUGGCGAAAGCGGCUCACUGGACCAUAACUGACGCUGAGACACGAAAGCGUGGGUAGCAAACAGG